CGUCUGAGUAGCUGGGACGGUUCUAAUUGUUUGCCCUGGUGGUUGCCUGAAACCCGGCCUUAAUCGUGGCCAAAUGACAUUAGCUGAGGGCGAAGAAGAAAAAUGAGCCCCUGACUUUCUGAGUUGACUAACGACCAGGCACAGUUUCAAGCAACUUGUUUCACAGAUUUACUUAGUUAACAAGCGAGGUUCGAUGGUGUACUGUUGAUGAAGGAAUCGAAAAAAUUUGGGGCACGAGCUCAGCUGAGCUGACAUUCAUCCCUGUUUGCUGACCUCAGGCUCUGUCGCCAACACCUUAAUGUACCAAGUCAGUUUAUUAUCCUCACUUUACAGAAGAACAGAAGGCAGAGAGAUGUUUUGGGGGUGACCAAGUGUCCCGGAUCGCCUGGGAAUGAGAGGUUUCCAGGCACAUGGGGCUUGCAGUGCUGACACCCAGACCGUUCCAGGCAGACCGGGGUGACGGGUCUCGCGCAAAGUAACGCAGUAAGUGACAGAGCCUGCCCUGAAAUCCAGGUGGCCUGACUUUAGGCUCAAACUCUCCACCUCCACCCCGUGGUUCUGGCACCAGAGCCUGCGUCUGAAGUAGCCAGGGAUCUUGUUAAAACCCAAGCCCUGGCCUCACCUUCCCCAUUCAGUUGGCUGGAGGUGGUGGAGGUGGCUGAGAAUUUUCUCUUCUUUUUAAAAUUUAUUUAUUUAUAAGAGAAAGAGAGAGAGAGCAUACGAGCACGAGUGGGGGAGGGGCAGAGAGGGAAAGAGAGAGAAUCCCAAGCAGGCUCCACCAGCGCAGGGCCGGACACGGGGCUCAAGCGCACGAACUUGUGAGAUCAUGACCUGAGCCAAAACCAAGAGCCAGGCGCUUCACCGACUGAGCCACCUGGGAGCCCCGAGAAUUUGCUUUUCUACCACGUCCCCAGCUGACGCCAGUGCCGCUGGUCUGCAGCCUGACUUGGAGAAGCUCCGUGUUGUGCUGCCCUGCCUCCAGACGAGAAGCUUGGAAUGGACUUUUCAGGAAGAGGAGUUAGGAUACACAUAAACGCUGAGAGGAGAUCAUGUGAAGACAUAGAAGGUGGCCGUCUAUAAGCCUAGGAGACAUCUUGCAGAAGAAGCCAGUCCUGUUACACCUUGAUCUUGGCUUUCUAGCCUCCACAACUGCUUUAUUGGUGCCUAAUACAGAGGCAGGGCUUCCCUGCAGCACACACCAGAUCUGUGGAUUGCCUCGUCCACUCACCACAGAAGACCGAGGCUGGAACAGAGAGGGCUGGAGGACUUCUGGGGCACCUGAAGAGGCAGAGAGGAUAGUGACCCACUCAAAACAACUCAGUAGUCCUUUAUUAGACACUGUCAGCUCAGCCGAAGCGUCCGGUCUCACCAGAAGGCCAUUUGAGAAUACCUGUCAAAACUGUACGUCAUCACACUCUGUGAUCUGGCAAUUUUAUUUCCAUAAAUUUACCUUGGGAAAAUAACUGGACUCAGGGAUAUUGGUAGACCUACAAACAGGACUGUUAUAAUAAUGAGAAAAUAAAUGUACUUAGAGGAGAGGCUAAAGUUUUAAAUGAGACACCCGGUCUAUGCAGUACUAUGCAGGCCCCAUAAAAGGAAAAUGAAGAACUCUCACUUCUGGGUCGGAUGGAGUUGUUGGCAGCCAAAUAAUGUUCCCACUGAAAACAACUAGAAAAGCCAGAGGAACAGACGAUAUUUCAGGUUUAAGAGAGGUACAGAAGCAACAGUGGCCAGAAGGGUUAAGGAUGUGCAGAGGGAAGAGCCACAGAGGUGCAAAGUGACAACUUUCAGCCAUCUGCAAUUGCCAAUUCUGGCAAGAGGCUAAGGAUCCAGGUUUUCCCCGGGGGGAAGGCUGCAGGUGAGACAAGAGAAAUUAGCAGAGCCGUUUAUAAUCUCACAGACUGCAGUGACAAAACCGGAAGCCUGAGGAACCUCAAAUAUAUGUUCAGUUAUCACCAUUACCUGAAGUCUGAAAUUUUAUAAAAUGGGAACCUUAAAAGGUGACCCUCAGAUGGUUCCAGCCCCCGGCCUUCAGGCCCCCCACUCCCCCCGCCGAUGCCACACGGGGUGGAAAUAAGCUGACGCCCCCAAGUCCUGCCCAAACGACAGAUUCAUGAACAAAGUAGAUGACUGGUGUUUUAGAAAUGACUUUUUUAAGCUUAUUUAUUUAUUUUGAGAGAUGCAGAGACAGCACGAGUGGGGGAGGGGCAGAGAGAGAGGGAGAGAGAAUCCCAAGCAGGCUCCGC